rnacentral:tRNA from 1 species
GCCCCGAUAGCUCAGCUGGAUAGAGCGACUCCCUCCUAAGGAGUAGGCCGGUGGUUCGAAUCCACCUCGGGGUA